rnacentral:rRNA from 1 species
GGCCUAUCAGCUUGUUGGUGGGGUAAUGGCCUACCAAGGCGACGACGGGUAGCCGGCCUGAGAGGGCGAUCGGCCACACUGGGACUGAGACACGGCCCAGACUCCUACGGGAGGCAGCAGUGGGGAAUAUUGCACAAUGGGCGGAAGCCUGAUGCAGCGACGCCGCGUGAGGGAUGACGGCCUUCGGGUUGUAAACCUCUUUCAGUACCGACGAAGCGAGAGUGACGGUAGGUACAGAAGAAGCACCGGCCAACUACGUGCCAGCAGCCGCGGUAAUACGUAGGGUGCGAGCGUUGUCCGGAAUUACUGGGCGUAAAGAGCUCAUAGGCGGUUUGUCACGUCGGCUGUGAAAUCCCAUCGCUCAACGGUGGGCUUGCAGUCGAUACGGGCUGACUUGAGUACUGCAGGGGAGACUGGAAUUCCUGGUGUAGCGGUGAAAUGCGCGGAUAUCAGGAGGAACACCGGUGGCGAAGGCGGGUCUCUGGGCAGUAACUGACGCUGAGGAGCGAAAGCGUGGGUAGCAAACAGGAUUAGAUACCCUG